UACGUAGGGGGCGAGCGUUGUCCGGAUUUAUUGGGCGUAAAGCGCGCGUAGGCGGUGCCGUAAGUCGGCCGUGAAAUCUCCAGGCUCAACCUGGAGGGGUCGGGCGAGACUGCGGGGCUAGAGGCGGGCAGAGGCCGGUGGAAUUCCACGUGUAGCAGUGAAAUGCGUAGAUAUGUGGAGGAACACCGAUGGCGAAGGCAGCCCCCUGGGUCAAGACUGACGCUCAUGCACGAAAGCGUGGGGAGCAAACAGG
rnacentral:rRNA from 1 species